AUUAUUAGAAAAAGAAUGCACACCCAAGGUGGUAAUGUGGUCACGACGCGAAGCGGACAAUGUGUGUAUGGGGGCAGUGUGUGUGUGUGGGCAGUGUAUGUGUGUGUAUGGGGGGCAGUGUAUGUGUGUGUGGGGCAAUCUGUGUAUGGGGGGGCAGUGUGUGUAUGUGUAGGGUGUGUGUAUGGGGGGGCAGUGUAUGUGUAGGGUUUGUGAAUGUGAGGAGGGUAGGGAGGCAAUUUUAUAUAAGGAAUAAUUGAC